AGGAAGGAAGGAAGGAAGAGAGAAAAACAAUCAAAUAAACAGAAACACCUGAACUUCGCUACAGAGAAAAACAUGGUAAAUGUGAGUUACCACAACACGCUGUGAUAACACAGAAGGGAAGAAAAGAUUUUCAGAGUAGAAACAUGUGAUAGUUGGUGGGAGGCGGACAGGAAGGAGGAAGAGGCCAGUGCAUGCAUUACAUCUUGUUCAUUUUUUCAUUUAUGCACUUAUUCAGCAAAUACUAAUUUCUCUUUCCAUAGCCAGGAAAAAUAGACCUGUCUUCUGCCCUGUGGGAACUUAGAUCUCAUGUAGAAGAUAGACAAAGAUAAGGUAAUGACCCAGAUAAAAAAUAUAAAAUUGUGGAAAGUGUAAGGGGGGAGAAAGCCCUGGUGCUCAGUCGAUAUAAUCAGAGGAUUCCACACACCCACAGAGGUCAGAAAAGGACAUGUAAGGGUUUGUGCGGUUUCCACACGUGGAGGGAGGGAGGAGGCAUCUGGUCUGGAGGAACAGACUGAGCAUUGGGCGGGGCUAGAAAGGGUUGCCCACGUGUGGGGAAAGGCAGCAUGCCUGAAAAUGGCAGAGAACAAAUGAGAGUUGAUUAUGUACCAGUCCUAUAAGGUAAGAAUUCCCUUAGUUUUGCUUCCUCCAAAUGUAGAUUCUGAGAUGAAGACUUGAUGCAGGUAGCUUAUUGGGGAGUUAAUUCCAGGGAGCACAAGCAAGGGAGUCCAGAGACUGGGUCAGGAAUUAAGGAGACAUCUGAAUGGAGGUCACCUGCUGAGGCCGGUAAACUCUCCUCCUCCAGAGCUUCCUGAAAAGGACACAGUUCUCCCACUACUUUUUGCUUAAAGGAACAGAAUGAGGAGCCCCUGAGACACCUGCUAUGGGUGUUAUAUUCAUUUUAAAGCUGAAGAUCAAAAAAUUUCAAUCCCUUGCCCAAAUUUACAUGGCCAAUAAAUGACAGAGCAGGGAGGAUUUGAACUGAGGUGGGUUGCAACUGCAAAGCUCGUACUCUUAUCAGCAUACUCCACUGUCCUCUUCAUCAUAUAUUUAAAAUAUACAUUGUCAAAACUGUAAUGAAUUUUGAUGGAUUUUAAUAUCAAUGUUGACAUGAUAUUUUUCUAACAGUCAUUAAUCCUUCCAGCCCUAAAAGUGAUGCUUAAUCUCUGAUUCUGCUAUAGUAACCUGAAUAAGAGGUGUCACUUCCCUGAGGGCAGUCAAGAGAUAACAUCAUGUGAUCUAUGAGGGAAACUAGCCCUGUGAGAAUUUAAUCCAGUCAUACAGUUUUGAAAGGUCUGAGGUAGAUUAAAGAUGCUCACAAAUUCUUUGCUAUUCUUCUGUCAAAAGUGGAGUCUAAAUUCCUUUCCCCUAAAUAUGGGCUGGACUUAGUGUCUUGCUUGACAGCCAAGGCAGAAGUGACUUUCUGGGACUUCCAAGGUUUUCUCAUAGGAAUUCCUGCAGCCUCCAACCUGGUCUCUUGCAUGGAACCUUCACUGUUGGAGUUCUGAGCACCAUUGUCAGUAUCCAGCUGCUCUGAGUCUGCCAUGCUGGAGAGGCCCCAGGUCAGUGCUCCAGGUGAAGUUCUCCAUUGAGCCCCACAUUCCAACUGUCCCUGUGAAGAGGCCAGAUGUAUAAGAGAUCCUCCAGACCAGACCAUCUCCCAGCUGAGUGCCACCUCUAUUGGUGCCACAUGGAACAGAUGAAUCGCUUAGCUGAGCCUUGCCCAAAUUUAUGAUCUACAAAGUUGAAAGCCAAGACUAUGAAGAUAAAAGAUUUAAAUCUAAGACAUGAAAUGAUAACAAUCCUACAACAAAGUGUGGAAAAUACUCCAGAGGAUGUUGGCCUGGGGAAAGAUUUUAUGAAGAAGAUUUCAGUGGCAAUUGCAACAACAACAAAAAUAAACAAAUGAGACUUAUUGAAACUAAAAA